UACGGAGGGACUAGCGUUGUUCGGAAUACUGGGCGUAAAGCGCACGUAGGCGGAUUUGUAAGUCAGGGGUGAAAUCCCGGGGCUCAACCUCGGAACUGCCUUUGAUACUGCAAAUCUCGAGUCCGGAAGAGGUGAGUGGAAUUCCUGGUGUAGCGGUGAAAUGCGCAGAUAUCAGGAAGAACACCAAUGGCGAAAGCAGCUCUCUGGGCGAA
rnacentral:rRNA from 1 species